CUACUAUAACCAGUCUAGCCAAUGAACACCAGUAAGACAUCCACACAUCUACAAUGGUGGAAGAUCGCACGAUUUAAUAUUUAUAAGAGAUUAAUUUUUAGAUCUCAAUUUUUAAUUAUUUACAUCUAAUGCAAAUAAAGUCUGUAAAACAUGAAUAAGAAUCGAUGAUGAUCAUGGAUCUAAGAAAAGGAUUCAUGCUCAAGCCAUUG
rnacentral:lncRNA from 1 species